CGGGGACAUAACUGCAGGGGCUAUAUGAGCCGUGUGGCUAUGGGCGGUGACAGUAGGGGGGUGGGCCACAGGGGUGGGGGUACUCGGCGACUGGCUCACCUCCUCCAGCUGGCUGUGCACAUGCUGCACAAUGAGGUCGAUGGCCACCGUGUU